GACCAUGUGGCGGGAUUGGCAGACGCGCCAGAUUCAGGUUCUAGUAACAUCGUACAGGUUCAAGUCCUGUCGUGGGCA
rnacentral:tRNA from 1 species